CCAAUAGCGUAUAUUAAAGUUGUUGCAGUUAAAAAGCUCGUAGUUGAAUUUCGGGAUCAUCAGGUUGGUCGUGCCUCUGGUAUGUACUGAUUUCGAUGGUUCCUCCUUCUUGAAGAACCGUAAUGCCAUUAAUUUGGUGUUGCGGGGAAACAGGACUGUUACUUUGAAAAAAUUAGAGUGUUUAAAGCAGGCAAUCGCUUGAAUACAUUAGCAUGGAAUAAUGAAAUAGGACGUUCGAUCCUAUUUUGUUGGUUUCUAGGAUUGACGUAAUGAUUAAUAGGGAUAGUUGGGGGCAUUAGUAUUCAAUUGUCAGAGGUGAAAUUCUUGGAUUUAUUGAAGACUAACUACUGCGAAAGCAUUUGCCAAGGAUGUUUUCAUUAAUCAAGAACGAAAGUUAGGGGAUCGAAGACGAUCAGAUACCGUCGUAGUCUUAACCAUAAACUAUGCCGACUAGGGAUCGGAUGAUGUUAAUUUUUUAAUGACUCAUUCGGCGCCUUACG
rnacentral:rRNA from 1 species